GUAUCGGCGCGCGGCGUGUGCGGGUUUUGCGGCUUUUGCCGCGCGGCUCGAUCGAGGGAACACCGCGAACUUCGGCUGCUCGCGAGACCGAGCGCGGAGAGAUCGCGCGGUCCCUUCGGUACGUUUCGCUUCGCUUCGGUUACCCUCGGUUCCCUUUUGCUCCAGCUCCAGCUACCAGCGCGCGAGCGGGGGCGUGACUCCGCGUACAUUAGACGACAGUAACGCUCUGUCCGCCGAUGUCAACGACUGUGGCCUCUAUCUCUAGAUUUCCCUUCGUACGAGACACUUCUCACUCAGGUCAGAGCGCAAGUCGCGCACUUUUUUUGAAAGAUUCAAAUUUGUCGCGAGCCAAUUUCACAUGGUCAGGACCAUUUUUCUUAUUUGGCUUAAAUGGAUUGGGUGUGCACGUUGAGAAAGAUUCAAGCGCCGGAAGGCAAAAGGCAGAGGAUUUUCAGUAUCCUUGAAAUAAAUGACAACGAGAAAAUACUAGACAGGACGGCUGAAGCAAGAUGGACGACACGGUUUUCCUGAAAGUUGAUUUUGAAACGGGAUUUCGUGAAAGAAGGAUGAAAAAUUUGAUAGAAAGGCGUCGAACGAUUAUAGAAAAUGGAGGACGACAAACGUGAUUAAUCGACAUCAGACACAGUGGCUUGUUUGAGUUAUGAGACGAGUUGUUCAUGUUUUCUAGGCAAUUUUUCUAACAACGAAAUAAAAUUGGUUGAAAUUUCGAAUCCCGUUGAAACAGCAAUUGUGAAAGUGUGCUGCCUGCCUGCAGCAUGUUCCAAUAUUAAUCACACGUUAUUGGUAUAACGAUUAUUUUUGCGGAAGAUAGGCCGACGCAUGCUUUAUCUUCUUUUCUCCGCUGGACUCGUCGAACUGGAUUUCACGUUCCGUGAUUCAUUAGCAGUAAAGUUGCAUCAAGCAUAAACGCUUCAUGACAUUACUCCCUUACACAGACAUUUUCCUCGUCGUGUUCACAGUGAAUCACAUCAUCGGUAAUUUUUCCACUAUCGAUAGCCUCACGCAAAACCUCGUGAUCUCAUUUUGAAGCACCAGCUUCCGCCAGAAAUGGAGGAUCUUGAAUGAUCUCCACGCGAAAAUAAAUCAACUGCUUUAAAUCUGUUGAUUAUUUUAAUUUUAUUUAUUGCACGUUAUUAUUUUUUGCUCAUUUCAUUGCACUCAGCAAAUUUCGUUUUAAAAAAAAAUUUAUCUUGUUAAAUUUCUUCCGUCGCGAUCGAUGAAGGAACAUUUCCUUUCUUUUUUCAUCAAUAACGAUUACGCAUUGUUCGCGCGAGAUUUCAAGUAAAAUAUUGCGCGAUUUCACGCAAAGAAUUAAUGUCCGCAGGCUGUCAGGUACCUACAGAUUUAUGCCUGCAAUGACACAGCUUUGCAUGGUGGGUGAUUGUUCUCAGUAAUAAAUCAAUUUUACAUUAUGCCUAUAUACGAACGGCCGUCGUAUUAACCACUGAUAAUUAAAUUCGUUAACGCGUGUAACGUCAGAUUCUAAUCUGCGAUCGAGACCGCGUAAUUGUAUCAAUGGGUUAGCGUCUCUCGUGAAUUUAUAUCGAGCUAAUCUUCUGAUAAUCUGUACGAAAAUUAUACACAAGAAAGUAGAUAAAUAAAUUCUUGCAAAAUUCUUGGCGAUUAAAAACAAUACGUAGGAAUGUUUACAUUUCAUUUCGUUCAUUUCAAUUCAUGACGACAUUCACUUGACGAAUUGAUGGAGUGGUAAUAACAGAAACGAGCUAACGACUUCAAGGAAACUAAUCGUCGCUUUUAGCGGCGAUAAUAACCAUAAAAUAGACUCAUACUACCAGGAAGAGUGGCCCUGCCGCGAUUUCCCGUAAAUGGCGUACCUUCGGCAGGAAACGGGUUAUCCAGUUAUCCGUUCUAGUACAUGAAGAUAACCUAUUACGUCGACUUUUGUGAACGCAGUUCAUCCGUUAUGUGUAUCUCAGUGCAUCGAGUCGGACGCCUCUGCCAAAAAUUUUCACUCCUCUAGACUGGAUUAGAUGAAAUCGAAUGGUUCCAAGCUUGUUGAAAAUAAAAAAAGUGCACUAUUAA